rnacentral:rRNA from 1 species
UACGUAGGGGGCGAGCGUUGUCCGGAAUCAUUGGGCGUAAAGAGCGUGUAGGCGGCUUGGAAAGUCUUACGUGAAAGCCUGCGGCUCAACCGCAGAAGUGCGUAGGAAACUUCCUCGCUAGAGUCCGGAAGAGGAGAGCGGAAUUCCUGGUGUAGCGGUGGAAUGCGCAGAUAUCAGGAGGAACACCAAUGGCGAAGGCAGCUCGCUGGGACGUGACUGACGCUGAGACGCGAAAGCGUGGGGAGCAAACAGG